ACAUCCAGAGAACUUAGCAGAGAUGCUUUGGUGCCUUCGGGAACCCUGAGACAGGUGCUGCAUGGCUGUCGUCAGCUCGUGUUGUGAAAUUGUUGGGUUAAGUCCCGCAACGAGCGCAACCCUUAUCCUUUGUUGCCAGCGGCUCGGCCGGGAACUCAAAGGAGACUGCCGGUGAUAAACCGGAGGAAGGUGGGGAUGACGUCAAGUCAUCAUGGCCCUUACGGCCAGGGCUACACACGUGCUACAAUGGCGCAUACAAAGAGAAGCGACCUCGCGAGAGCAAGCGGACCUCACAAAGUGCGUCGUAGUCCGGAUUGGAGUCUGCAACUCGACUCCAUGAAGUCGGAAUCGCUAGUAAUCGUAGAUCAGAAUGCUACGGUGAAUACGUUCCCGGGCCUUGUACACACCGCCCGUCACACCAUGGGAGUGGGUUGCAAAAGAAGUAGGUAGCUUAACCUUCGGGAGGGCGCUUACCACUUUGUGAUUCAUGACUGGGGUGAAGUCGUAACAAGGUAGGCGUAGCGAG
rnacentral:rRNA from 1 species